rnacentral:rRNA from 1 species
CAGCAGGCGCGCAAAUUACCCAAUGAAAACAGUUUCGAGGUAGUGACGAGAAAUAACAAUACAGGGCAUUUUAUGCUCUGUAAUUGGAAUGAUGGGAAUCUAAAACCCUUUCAGAGUAACAAUUGGAGGGCAAGUCUGGUGCCAGCAGCCGCGGUAAUUCCAGCUCCAAUAGCGUAUAUUAGAGUUGUUGCAGUUAAAAAGCUCGUAGUUGGAUUUCUGUCGUGGUCUUCCGGUUUCGCCCGUACGGGUGUUGACUUGGUUAGCCCUCGGCAUUCUUCCGGUCCCUUCCCCGCUUCAUUGCGUGGUAGGUUCCUCCGGAACUUUUACUUUGAGAAAAAUAGAGUGUUUCAAGCAGGCUUUCGCCUUGAAUACUUCAGCAUGGAAUAAUAAGAUAGGACUUUGGUUCUAUUUUGUUGGUUUCUAGGACUAAAGUAAUGAUUAAUAGGGACAGUUGGGGGCAUUCGUAUUUAACUGUCAGAGGUGAAAUUCUUAGAUUU